UCUACUCUCCUUAUCUUCUUUUGCUGCCCCGAUAGUCUUCUCCCUUAUCUUUCUCUUGGCUGUACCAGAAAGUCCAGCCCCUCUUUCUCUACUCCUUUUUCCUUGUUCUUGUUCCUUCUUCUCUCUUUGCUCUUACAUGGCAACACCUUUCCCUUACUCCCUCACUGAAAAUCAUAGAUAUCUCUCUAAGAAGAAAUUAAGAGCCUAACACUAAGAUUUCAUCUUCAAAGUGUGUGGGUAGCAAGAAUGAGAAUAUGGACACUUGAGCUCCUUUUGUACAAUCUCUCGCGUCUUCUGUUUUUAGGUUCUUCCUGGAAGUAGCGAGAGUAUUAGAGGUGGCAAAGAUUCUGUGAUUCUCAUUUGUUAGAAUGUAGAGUAUUGUUGUAUAGCAGUUUAGCUCUUUUGUUGUAUAGGAGAAAUCAAGAUGUACUUGAUCCUUGAGCACAGAUGUAAUUUAGUAUCUUAGUUUGUUUGGAACCCUAGUUGUAUGUCUCUGGGGUUAGGUUUGUAAUAAGAGUUUUGCUAAACGUUUAGCUAUGUAAUAUUUACACGGAUACCUUAAGUUUAAGCCAGGUGGUAAUUUUCCAAGUUCAAAAGAAAUGAAAUUUCAAAGUUUCCAUCA